rnacentral:rRNA from 1 species
UAAUAUUUAUUAUAUAAAUCUAAAGGAUUUGGCGGUAUAAUUAUUGUUUAGGGGAAUCUGUCUUUUAAUUUGAUAAUCCACGUUAUACCUUACUUUAUUUAAUAGUUUACACAUUUCCGUUUUAGUUUAUUUAUUAUAUAAUUAAUGAACUUAUAAUUUUUAAAAUUUUAAAAUCAGGUAAAUAAGUAGCAAUAAUAAAGGAUCAGAUGGAUUACAUUUAUUGAUAAUAAAGGUUAAUUAUAUGAAAUUAUAAUUUUAUUUUGAACUUAAGAGUAAAUUUUUAUUAGAUUGAUAAUUUGAAUUUAUAAAAUUAUAUGG